rnacentral:lncRNA from 1 species
GACGGAGGCAGGCAGGCGGCAGGCAGGGAGGGGAAGAAGAGAAGGGAAGCUAUUAAACACACACUCACACACAGACGCGCGCGCACACACCGACCCAACCCCCCAGAAGCCUCGGGAUUGCAGCUGUUUCAUGUGGGGCAGCAGUGCUGGCAGGGACGCCGGCCGGGAGCGGCCGGGAGCGGGAGCCGGGCGUGUGUGUGCGCGCGGCCGGAGGCUCGCCGGGGCUCCGCUCCCCGCGGGAGCUAUUGUUGGUCUCGCUGGAGCUGAGCGCAGAGCCGGGACCUGCUCCUUCUCGGGCGCCCCGCUCGGGCUCGCGGAGCCGAGGAGCCGCGCCGCGGAGGGCAAGAGGAGCCACCGGCGCUGCGCCUUGCCUCGCUGCCGCCCUCCCCCCGGCUCCCCCGGCGGAGGCAGCCUGCAGCCACGAUGGAAACACUGAGAAUCAGAGAGGGCUAGCGAUCUCUGGGAUACUCG